GGCCGGGUGGCGCAAGGGUAGCGCGUUACUUUCCGGUGGUAUAUCUUGGUUGGUAAAGGUUCUGGGUUCGAAUCCCAGCCUGGUCG